rnacentral:lncRNA from 1 species
AGCCCCAGUUACCACAACCAAUGUAGUAUCUUUGCCAGAGCAGAUUACUACGGCCAUUGAUUUAAUGAGUGCAUUCUUUUUUAUCCUGAUCAGAAAAGAGAAUCAGAAAUAUUCUGCAUUCAUAUGGAAUGGACAACACACAUUUACAGUUUUGCCCCAGGGCUCUUUGACUCACUCACUUGCUUUCUGUCUUAACAUAGUCUAGAGAGAUCUGGAUUGUUUGGGCAUCCCACAGAGCAUCAUAUUGAUCCAUGAAAUUGAUGACAUCUUUCUAAUUUGGCAGGAUGAGAAAGAAGUAGCUGGCCUGUAGAGGACUUGGUAAAGUACAUGUGCUCUUGAGGGUGGGGAAGAAACUCUAUGAAGAUUCAGAGACUAGCAUAUCAAUAAAGUUUUUAGGGAUGAAGUGAUCAGGGGCAUGCCAGGGCAUCCUCUCCAAAGUAAAAGACAAAUUGCUGCGUUUUAUAACCCCCAUUGCAAAGAAGGAGGCACGAUGCCUGAUACGCCCCUUGGGUUCUAGAGGCAAUACACUCCACACUUAGGAAGGCUAUUCUAGACCAUCUGGUAAGUGACAUGGAAGGCUGCCAGCUCUGAGUGGCCAAGAGCAGAGUGGGGCCUGCAGCAGGUUCAGGCUGUGGGCAUAUGCCAUGAGCUAUGAACUGGCAGAAGCAGAGAUGACAUAUGGGCCCAGCAGCAUGAACUCCCACUUACUAAAGCCAAUCUGGCUAUUGUGCACCGUGGCAGUCAGGGAGGAGUGUGGCUCAGAUCUCCCUUCCAGAAGG